rnacentral:rRNA from 1 species
GGUUAAGCGACUAAGCGUACACGGUGGAUGCCCCGGCAGUCAGAGGCGAUGAAGGGCGUGCUAAUCUGCGAUAAGCGCCGGUAAGGUGAUAUGAACCGUUAUAACCGGCGAUACCCGAAUGGGGAAACCCAGUGUGACUCGUCACACUAUCAUUAACUGAAUCCAUAGGUUAAUGAGGCGAACCGGGGAACUGAAACAUCUAAGUACCCCGAGGAAAAGAAAUCAACCGAGAUUCCCCCAGUAGCGGCGAGCGAACGGGGAGGAGCCCAGAGCCUGAAUCAGCAUGUGUGUUAGUGGAAGCGUCUGGAAAGGCGCGCGAUACAGGGUGACAGCCCCGUACACAAAAGCGCAUGUGCUGUGAGCUCGAUGAGUAGGGCGGGACACGUGGUAUCCUGUCUGAAUAUGGGAGAUCAUCCUCCAAGGCUAAAUACUCCUGACUGACCGAUAGUGAACCAGUACCGUGAGGGAAAGGCGAAAAGAACCCCGGCGAGGGAGUGAAAAAGAACCUGAAACCGUGUACGUACAAGCAGUGGGAGCACAGGUUUACCUGUGUGACUGCGUACCUUUUGUAUAAUGGGUCAGCGACUUAUAUUCUGUAGCAAGGUUAACCGUAUAGGGGAGCCGGAGGGAAACCGAGUCUUAACCGGGCGUUAAGUUGCAGGGUAUAGACCCGAAACCCGGUGAUCUAGCCAUGGGCAGGUUGAAGGUUGGGUAACACUAACUGGAGGACCGAACCGACUAAUGUUGAAAAAUUAGCGGAUGACCUGUGGCUGGGGGUGAAAGGCCAAUCAAACCGGGAGAUAGCUGGUUCUCCCCGAAAGCUAUUUAGGUAGCGCCUCGUGAAUUCAUCUCCGGGGGUAGAGCACUGUUUCGGCUAGGGGGCCAUCCCGGCUUACCAACCCGAUGCAAACUGCGAAUACCGGAGAAUGUUAUCACGGGAGACACACGGCGGGUGCUAACGUCCGUCGUGAAGAGGGAAACAACCCAGACCGCCAGCUAAGGUCCCAAAGUCAUGGUUAAGUGGGAAACGAUGUGGGAAGGCCCAGACAGCCAGGAUGUUGGCUUAGAAGCAGCCAUCAUUUAAAGAAAGCGUAAUAGCUCACUGGUCGAGUCGGCCUGCGCGGAAGAUGUAACGGGGCUAAACCAUGCACCGAAGCUGCGGCAGCGAACGUAUCACUUAAAGCGAUUCAGCGGGUUACGAUUGACGGAGCGAAGCGACGUCAAAGCGUAUACAAAGUCGAGUCGGUUUAAGGAUACGUUCGUUGGGUAGGGAGCGUUCUGUAAGCCUGUGAAGGUGUGUCGUGAGGCAUGCUGGAGGUAUCAGAAGUGCGAAUGCUGACAUAAGUAACGAUAAAGCGGGUGAAAAGCCCGCUCGCCGGAAGACCAAGGGUUCCUGUCCAACGUUAAUCGGGGCAGGGUGAGUCGACCCCUAAGGCGAGGCCGAAAGGCGUAGUCGAUGGGAAACGGGUUAAUAUUCCCGUACUUGGUGUUACUGCGAAGGGGGACGGAGAAGGCUAUGUUGGCCGGGCGACGGUUGUCCCGGUUUAAGCGUGUAGGCUGGUUUUCCAGGCAAAUCCGGAAAAUCAAGGCUGAGGCGUGAUGACGAGGCACUACGGUGCUGAAGCAACAAAUGCCCUGCUUCCAGGAAAAGCCUCUAAGCAUCAGGUAACAUCAAAUCGUACCCCAAACCGACACAGGUGGUCAGGUAGAGAAUACCAAGGCGCUUGAGAGAACUCGGGUGAAGGAACUAGGCAAAAUGGUGCCGUAACUUCGGGAGAAGGCACGCUGACACGUAGGUGAAGUGAUUUACUCAUGGAGCUGAAGUCAGUCGAAGAUACCAGCUGGCUGCAACUGUUUAUUAAAAACACAGCACUGUGCAAACACGAAAGUGGACGUAUACGGUGUGACGCCUGCCCGGUGCCGGAAGGUUAAUUGAUGGGGUCAGCGCAAGCGAAGCUCCUGAUCGAAGCCCCGGUAAACGGCGGCCGUAACUAUAACGAUCCUAAGGUAGCGAAAUUCCUUGUCGGGUAAGUUCCGACCUGCACGAAUGGCGUAAUGAUGGCCAGGCUGUCUCCACCCGAGACUCAGUGAAAUUGAACUCGCUGUGAAGAUGCAGUGUACCCGCGGCAAGACGGAAAGACCCCGUGAACCUUUACUAUAGCUUGACACUGAACAUUGAGCCUUGAUGUGUAGGAUAGGUGGGAGGCUUUGAAGCGUGGACGCCAGUCUGCGUGGAGCCGACCUUGAAAUACCACCCUUUAAUGUUUGAUGUUCUAACGUGGACCCGUGAUCCGGGUUGCGGACAGUGUCUGGUGGGUAGUUUGACUGGGGCGGUCUCCUCCUAAAGAGUAACGGAGGAGCACGAAGGUUGGCUAAUCCUGGUCGGACAUCAGGAGGUUAGUGCAAUGGCAUAAGCCAGCUUGACUGCGAGCGUGACGGCGCGAGCAGGUGCGAAAGCAGGUCAUAGUGAUCCGGUGGUUCUGAAUGGAAGGGCCAUCGCUCAACGGAUAAAAGGUACUCCGGGGAUAACAGGCUGAUACCGCCCAAGAGUUCAUAUCGACGGCGGUGUUUGGCACCUCGAUGUCGGCUCAUCACAUCCUGGGGCUGAAGUAGGUCCCAAGGGUAUGGCUGUUCGCCAUUUAAAGUGGUACGCGAGCUGGGUUUAGAACGUCGUGAGACAGUUCGGUCCUAUCUGCCGUGGGCGCUGGAGAACUGAGGGGCUGCUCCUAGUACGAGAGGACUAGGAGUGGACGCAUCACUGGUGUUCGGGUUGUCAUGCCAAUGGCACUGCCCGGUAGCUAAAUGCGGAAGAGAUAAGUGCUGAAAGCAUCUAAGCACGAAACUUGCCCCGAGAUGAGUUCUCCCUGAGACUUAAAGUCUCCUGAAGGAACGUUGAAGACGACGACGUUGAUAGGCCGGGUGUGUAAGCGCAGCGAUGCGUUGAGCUAACCGGUACUAAUGAACCGUGAGGCUUAACCUU